GUGUCAGCAGCCGCGGUAAUACGUAGGGGGCAAGCGUUGUCCGGAAUUACUGGGCGUAAAGCGCGCGCAGGCGGCCUGAUAAGUCAGGUGUGAAAUCUUAAGGCUCAACCUUAAGCGGUCACUUGAAACUAUCGGGCUUGAGGGCAGGAGAGGAGAGCGGAAUUCCUAGUGUAGCGGUGAAAUGCGUAGAUAUUAGGAGGAACACCAGUGGCGAAGGCGGCUCUCUGGUCUGCAACUGACGCUGAGGCGCGAAAGCUGGGGGAGCAAACGGGAUUAGAUACCCCGGUAGUCCCAGCUGUAAACUAUGGGCACUAGGUGUAGGAGGUAUCGACCCCUCCUGUGCCGCAGCUAACGCAUUAAGUGCCCCGCCUGGGGAGUACGGCCGCAAGGUUGAA
rnacentral:rRNA from 1 species